CCCCUCUCAGGGUCACACUUGGAGAGUUUCCAGUACUCUACCAAUCUCGACUACAGGAGGGAGAGUCAAGGAGAGGCCUACCCCUUCCAUUCCUAGCUAAGCCAGUAGCUAAUGAGUGGAAGGCAAUCUGCUACAAGU